rnacentral:rRNA from 1 species
AAAUAUGUUCCCGGGCCUUGUUCACUCCGCCCGUCACACCAUGGGAGUUGGUUUUACCCGACGACGCUGCGCUAACCCUUCGGGGAGGCAGGCGGCCACGGUAGGAUUAGCGACUGGGGUUAAGUCGUAACAGGAUAGCCGUAAUCGAAUUUUUUCCGGCCGCCUAGCGGCCGGGAGCUUGGACUUCGGCCCAUUCCAR